rnacentral:rRNA from 1 species
GGGUCUUGGGAUAUUUGGGGUUAAGAGUCCUUGGGUUUGAAUAGUAUUGGGCUGGGUGACCUCCCGGAAAGUACAAAUUCAGGAGCUU